rnacentral:rRNA from 1 species
CCUACGGGAGGCAGCAGUGAGGAAUAUUGGUCAAUGGGCGCGAGCCUGAACCAGCCAAGUAGCGUGCAGGAUGACUGCCCUAUGGGUUGUAAACUGCUUUUAUACGGGAAUAAAGUCAGGUACGUGUACCUGUUUGUAUGUACCGUAUGAAUAAGGACCGGCUAAUUCCGUGCCAGCAGCCGCGGUAAU